CCAGCUCCAAGAGCAUAUAUUAAAGUUGUUGCAGUUAAAAAGCUCGUAGUUGGAUUUCUGGUACAACGCACCUGGCCCGCAGCCAUUAGGCUUGUGUGCGCCGGCGCGCGUUUGCCAUCCUUCUAGAAAACGGGUCUGCCAUUAACUUGGUGGGUUCGCGAUCUAGAUCAUUUACUUUGAAAAAAUUAGAGUGUUUAAAGCAAGCAAUUGCUAUGAAUACAUUAGCAUGGAAUAAUAAUCUAGGACUUCGGUUCUAUUUUGUUGGUUUCUAAAACUGAAGUAAUGAUUGAUAGGGACAGUUGGGGGUGCUAGUAUUGGCCGGCCAGAGGUGAAAUUCUUGGAUUCGGUCAAGACUAACUUAUGCGAAAGCAUUCACCAAGGAUGUCUUCU
rnacentral:rRNA from 1 species